AGUGAACGCUGGCGGUAGGCCUAACACAUGCAAGUCGAACGGCAGCACAGUAAGAGCUUGCUCUUACGGGUGGCGAGUGGCGGACGGGUGAGGAAUACAUCGGAAUCUACUUUUUCGUGGGGGAUAACGUAGGGAAACUUACGCUAAUACCGCAUACGACCUACGGGUGAAAGCAGGGGAUCUUCGGACCUUGCGCGAUUGAAUGAGCCGAUGUCGGAUUAGCUAGUUGGCGGGGUAAAGGCCCACCAAGGCGACGAUCCGUAGCUGGUCUGAGAGGAUGAUCAGCCACACUGGAACUGAGACACGGUCCAGACUCCUACGGGAGGCAGCAGUGGGGAAUAUUGGACAAUGGGCGCAAGCCUGAUCCAGCCAUACCGCGUGGGUGAAGAAGGCCUUCGGGUUGUAAAGCCCUUUUGUUGGGAAAGAAAAGCAGCACGUUAAUACCCCGCUGUUCUGACGGUACCCAAAGAAUAAGCACCGGCUAACUUCGUG
rnacentral:rRNA from 1 species